rnacentral:rRNA from 1 species
AUUGAACGCUGGCGGCAGGCCUAACACAUGCAAGUCGAACGAGUGGCGGACGGGUUAGUAAUGUCUGGGAAACUGCCUGAUGGAGGGGGUUAACUACUGGAAACUGUAGCUAAUACCGCAUACCAUCGGAUGUGCCCAGAUGGGAGUGGCUAGUAGGUGGGGUAAAGGCUCACCUAGGCGACGAUCCCUAGCUGGGCUGAGAGGAUGACCAGCCACACUGGAACUGAGACACGGUCCAGACUCCUACGGGAGGCAGCAGUGGGGAAUAUUGCACAAUGGGCGAAAGCCUGAUGCAGCCAUGCCGCGUGUAUGAAGAAGGUCUUCGGGUUGUAAAGUACUUUAAGCGGGGAGGCGUUACCCGCAGAAGAAGCACCGGCUAACUCCGUGCCAGCCGCCGCGGUAAUUC